UUGAUGAUUUUUUAAAACAUUUUUGAAUGGUUGUCUAUUUCUCCUUCUACUUCUUGCCAUGCUUCUUUCUUCCCUGUUUAUUCCCUCCAGGUCAGUGGGAUUUAGAAAGGUCUGAAGUUGAAGAAAGGUAAGCAGGAGAAGAACCCAUUCAGUGUGGCUCUCUUUCCUCCCCUUUAUUCACCGCCACUAGCUGAAGCAUAUCUUUUAAAAAGACUUGAAGGGACAUGUAGAGAAGUUUCUAUUCUUGCUUUUCAUAUAAAAGACAGCUUUGGCAUUGUUUUCAUUUAAUGUCUAUAAAGCUGCUCUGCAUAAGUACCAUGUGAAACACAGAGAUUAGUAUUGUUAAUUUAAUGCAGUAAGCUUAGAGUCUUUAUAAGAUAUCAUCUCCUUUUGAACUUUAUAUUCAAAUCAGUAGAGACCAGAACAGAGUUUUUCGGAAGAAUAUUAACUUUCCUCCCUCAUAUAUUAAGCAAAUAGGAGGGCCAGAGAAAAUAUAAAUACGUGUGCUCACACACUGGCAUAAAUCAUCCUGAUAUGUAAGAGAGUAGGCCUUUUUAAUUUGUUCUUUUCUCUCAUAAACUGUUGGGGAAAUUGGAUGAACUUGCUCUACACAUAAUGGAUACAGUAAUGUGGGGAGAUGAUCCGUUGCAAUGAUGCAUUUGGAUAGGCUCUAAUGAAGUCAAGAUUCAACUUAUUGAUGACAAAAAAACAAUGGUUAUGUACAAAGUAUCAUAUAUCUUCUCAUCAAGCUGUCCCACCGAAUCAGAGAAGCAGUGUUACCUAAGUCAUGCAUUAUGUUUUCAUCUUUUAAAAAGGAACAAAGCUGAGACAUUUCAACUUGAUUUUUCUGCAUUCUCUUUCAGGUAACUUCUUAACUUGGCACCAGUAGAAUGUUUGAAAGGAAACUAAAAUUCUUCUAUAGGCAGGAGCAGCAGAGAAAUCCUUGCAGGAAAAUGUCAGCCAAGGAAAAUAAAUUGGCUUUAAUCACUGAUUUUUUUGACAUUAAUACAUUUAUAUUUCUUGUUACAUUUUAUUACAGCAGAUAUUAAAAUUAGUUUCCACCUUCCUAGGUUCACAAUAAUUGAAAAUGACAAAAGGCCAAAGGGACGCCAUGUAUGAUCAGAGGAAGGAUGAAGCCCUCAGGGGGUAUAGGGAGUUGGCUGCACAUGGUCCUGCAAGUGGGAAAUAAAGACCUGGAUAACAGAGAGAAUUCUGUAUCCAGCAUAGUUGGAGCCCCAGCACAAGUUUUGUCAAAUGCCUGAUACGCCCUUAUGAUAUGCCAUCUUGUUCAUUGCAGACAGCGCUACACAAUGCUCCUAAAAAAUUCCUUUGUAGGAAAGGCCAACAGGCUGGGUGACUAUUAGUCAGGUAUACUUUGUUUGAAAUGUUCCUAUCUGUGCUUCUUAGAGCCUUGACUUAUUUUAGUUUUUACAUUUGUGUUGAUUAACUUUCACAAAAAAAUACAUGUAUAAAAUGAGGGGGGAUGCCCUGUGAUAGAAAAGACAGUAGUAACCAUUCCUCAGCUUUUCCUGACUUCUUUUUAAGUUGACAAUGACAUUUCAAAGUUAGGUUUUGUAGCAAUAUAUCACCUACUACAAUAUUCCAUUCCUAUGCAUUUAGUCUUUGAAUUAAAUUUCUGUCUUCUAAGGCUUCUCUGCCCAUGAUCUCUAAAUGUUAAAGAGAAAGAAAGGUUCAUGAAAACAAAUCUUCCUCUGUUUUACCCAGAGGAAGGUCCUGGACAAGGAGGAGGUUUCCAGAAGUUAUAAAAUUUUCACUUUCCAUAUCUUUCCUGAACUUUGGGGGUAUGCUGGCUAAUCAGAGGACCAGUGAUAAAGCUUAAAAAAACAAUUAUUUCUUUCUGAAAAAUAACAGAAGUGAUUUAUUGAGAGCCCACUACAUGCCGGACAUUGUUCUGGUCCUCACAUCCUAUUUUCUUUAAUCUUCACCAAAAAAUACUAUAUGAUAGCCAUUAAUAGAUCAUAUGACAGAUAAAUUAAGCAUCCAUGAGUUUAAAUCAGGACCUUCCAAGACCUGGAAGUUCAAGCCAUUUUCGUUUAUUAGGCUUUUAUUAAAAAUUAAAGAAGUACCAAAUCAUGUCACAACAACUAUUGUGAUAAUUUUAAAAUUAUAUAAGAAAAACAUUUAACACAAAA